GAUGAACGCUGGCGGCGUGCCUAAUACAUGCAAGUCGAGCGAACGGACGAGAAGCUUGCUUCUCUGAUGUUAGCGGCGGACGGGUGAGUAACACGUGGAUAACCUACCUAUAAGACUGGGAUAACUUCGGGAAACCGGAGCUAAUACCGGAUAAUAUUUUGAACCGCAUGGUUCAAAAGUGAAAGACGGUCUUGCUGUCACUUAUAGAUGGAUCCGCGCUGCAUUAGCUAGUUGGUAAGGUAACGGCUUACCAAGGCAACGAUGCAUAGCCGACCUGAGAGUGUGAUCGGCCACACUGGAACUGAGACACGGUCCAGACUCCUACGGGAGGCAGCAGUAGGGAAUCUUCCGCAAUGGGCGAAAGCCUGACGGAGCAACGCCGCGUGAGUGAUGAAGGUCUUCGGAUCGUAAAACUCUGUUAUUAUGGAAGAACAUAUGUGUAAGUAACUGUGCACAUCUUGACGGUACCUAAUCAGAAAGCCACGGCUAACUACGUG
rnacentral:rRNA from 1 species